CACAACCCUGCUAGGAAAGGAUCUAAUCUGAUAGGCCUACUACUUUAGUUUUCCACAAAAGACGGGUUUAGUGAAGAGAAAUAUAUCCAAGGUGCUGUGUGUCAUUUCAAUCAGUGACCUGUCAAUGACCGACAGAGCUCUGGAUUUUCCUGGAUUUCCUUGACAUCAGUUGACCUCCGUUGGGACUUGACACUGUAAUUCAGAGUAACAAUUACAUUUUGUCAUAUCAUGUACACCAGGACGAAUUUUCGAUACUCCCUGACUGUCUAGCUUUAAUUUAGGUGAUUAUUGGCAAGCUGGACACAGUCAAAAAAACACUAUAAAUGUAGGUCCACACAGUUUCUAUUUGGUUUUAGUCAUUUUGAAGUAUAUUGAUUUUUUUUUACUCAAACCAUCCGUGGGCUGGAUUGGACUACCCCUGAUGUACUCGAUGUAGAACAUCAAAUGCAUAUCUGAAUCUAUCUAACCAAGAACAUUUGCAUUUUUUCCAAAUUCCAGACUUUUCUUUGGCGGCAAGCUUGUUAUUGGAGAUGAGAGAUUUUAAAUAGUAUUCUUAUUGUUCAUAGUAAUAGUAACCACAUACUGUAUGUCCAGACAUUUUUCUGGGAAUGUGAAUAUUGAUUAUUGACAGAUCUUUUAUGACAGUUCGUAAACACCAGCUCAAGGUAAGCUUUAGACAUUCUUAUCUCAUCCAGCCCCUGUCCAACUCUUCGAAGUCAAACAGUUGACAAUGAUGAUGACAGGCAAGGGGACUUUUUGAAGACUUUAACGUGCACUCUAUGACUAAGUAUGUGCCCGUCUACUCCGUUACACAGAGGACAUCUGUCAUUUAAUUUUGGGUGUCAUGCUGUUGGCACGAGGAACAAGGUAGCACUUCAGGACCCCGUCACGGUCUUAUUAGACCCUGGGGAAAAAAACAAAAGAUGGUGGGCAUAACAUGCAAUGAAGGGGAAGUAAAGUUGCUAUCUUACUGUUCUAUCUUCAUGAACAACUAUAGCUACUGUACGUUACGGUAGCAAACAAAGAGAUUGUGUGUGUACGGCACAGCAAAGACUGAAUAAUAGCUGAAGAAACAAAGGUGGAUGCAUGCCUGUUUGCCAUACCAAGGUAGUACGUUAGUGCCCCCUCCUCCUCUAAGUCAGGGUCAAUCGAUACUACCCUGCAGCUUAUCACUGCGGGGAAUUGACUGUUUGUCCAAACAACCCUCCUCUGGCUACAUAAAGGGAGGGAAAGGGACAGCACCAUUCCCGAAGGCUGACUGUCUCUCUGUCCACGCACCUGCGUCCCUCCACAUACCCCAGACCUGCGUCAACACACCGUGGACUGCUGCAAACAGGACUGUAGGGCUACCUGGUCUUUACUGAAGAGCGUGGAGCUGUGACACGGGACAGCGGAGAAGGAGUCAGAGGAUGUGUCUGAAAUGGUACCCUAUGUGCAUGUAAGGAAUGGGGUGCCAAUUUGGACACAGAGAGAGAGAGAGAGAGAGAGAGAGAGAGCAGCCCGGUCCUGGGGCCUACAUAGUGGGAGUAGAAUGGGGAGAGAGAUGCCAAGGCGGUCGACCGACCAGUAGUCUCAUGGUAUCCUCCCACCCCCCUCUCUCUCCACAUCGCAGAUGUUCCCUCCCUCCCUCCAUCCUUAUCCUCUGAAGCUGUGGAGUGUGACAAUGGUGUUUGUGUCCUCUGCAAUCGAACGCCAUUAUCACACUAAAUAGCUACGGUUAGAAGAGAACAGCGUCACCGUGACCCCAUGCUCUGUGGUCACUCAAACAGAGAUACGGACGGUGAAGUUCCGGCCAUGGUUUUGCCUUAUUCUCUCUUCACAGGCCUCACAUGUUGUUAUAGCUGGUUUGGACUCUACUUUGAUCACAUGCUGACUGAAAGGUAAGUCAUUCAAAUAGAAGUGUGAUACCUUGACAAACCAUGAAGCUUCAGAUGAUUGCUGACCCAUUUCCCUCUCUGCCUACAUGUGAGGUGAUAAUGUGUUACGAAGGUAAAGACGUGAUCUUUUAGAAACCGAAAUACAUGUGAGGCUAUAGUGUAAAUAUGGCCAAUCAGAAGAGGGGAGAAUAAAAGCCACAAGUUGCAGCUCACUAAUUUUGUGGAAAGCUCCAGCCAGUGCAUGUGCGUGCGCACGCACACACACACACACACACACACACACACACACACACACACACACACACACACACACACACACACACACACACACACACACACACACACACACACACACACACACACACACACACACACACACACACACACACACACACAGUAUUUAUAUUUACUCCCUCUCUGCCACUUGAGCCAGGGUACACACACUCUCACCUUAGACUAGCAGGUUUAUAACAUAAAGGUCAAUAAUAGGGCCUGUAUUCAUUACAGAACUCACAUUCACUUGAAAGAGCCGUGCCCCCAAAAAUCACAAGAUAAUAUCUAUGUAAUCUCAAACAUCAACCACGGCUCCAAAGAAGUAUUACUCUCUAUUAGGAAUAGGCAGUAUCCGAUUACAUAUAACCGAUAUCCCAAAGGUGAUUUAAAUAAUUUUUUUGAAAUUGUGUGAAUGAAUACCUCAGAGAGGAUAACUCACACAUUUUAUUUGUAUUUAUUAUGGAUCCCCAUUAACUGCUGCCAAGCAAAAUUAAGGCAGUUUAUACAAUUUAAAAAACAUUACAAUACAUUCACAGACGACUGUGUGCCCUCAGGCCCCUCCUCCACCACUACCACAUAUCUACUGUACAAGAUCCAUGUGUACGUGUGUGGAUAAUGCGUAUAUUAUCGUGUGUGUGUAUGCAUGUGUCUGUGCCUAUGUUUGUGUUCCAUAAAAAUUCCUUUGUCCCCGCUGUUCCAUAAAAUGUGUUUUUUUAUAUGUUUUUUGAAAUCAAAUUUUACUGCUUGCAUGAGUUACUUGAUGUGGAAUAGAGUUCCAUGUAGUCAUGGCUCUAUGUAGUACUGUACGCCUUCCAUAGUAUGUUCUGGACUUGGGGACUGUGAAGAGACCUGUUGUUGUGGCAUGUCUUGUGGGCUAUGCAUGGGUGUCCGAGCUGUGCGCCAAUAGUUCAAACAGACAGCUCGGUGCAUUCAACAUGUCAAUACCUCUCAUAAAUAUAAGCAGUGAUAAAGUCAAUCUCUCCUCCAUUUUGAGCAGGGAGAGAUGGACAUGCAUACUAUUAAUAUUAGCUCUCUGUGUACAUCCAAGGGCCAGCCGUACUGCCCUUGGAUGUACACAGAGAACCAACUGCAAUUUUCCUAAGUCCUUUUUCAAGAAGGCAGAGCAGCACCUUAUAAUGGACAGACUUCUCCCCAUCUUAGCUACUGUUGUAUCAAUAUGUUUUGACCUUGACAGUUUACAAUCCAGGGUAACUCCAAGCAGUUUGGUCACCUCAGCUUGCUCAAUUUCCACAUUAUGUAGUUGAGGUUCAGGGAAUGAUUUGUUCCAAAUAAAAUGCUUUUAGUUCUAGAAAUAUUUAGGACUAACUUAUUCCUUGCCACCCACUCUGAAACUAGCGGAAACUCUUUGUUAAGUGUUGCAGUCAUUUCAGUCACUGACAUGUAUAGUGUUGAGUCAUCCAUAUACAUAGAUUUAUUUUUUAUUUUUUAUUUAACUAGGCAAGUCAGUUAAGAACACAUUCUUAUUUACAAUGACAGCCAAGGAACAGUGGGUUAACUGCCUUGUUCAGGGGCAGGACAACAGAUGUUUACCUUGUCAGCUCAGGGACUCGAUCUGGCAACCUUUCGGUUAUUGGCCCAACGCUCUAACCACUAGGCUACCUGCCGCCCCAGGUAGAUACUCUGGCUUUCCUCUUAGUAAAGAUUGAAAAACGUAAUGGGUCUAGACAGCUGCCUUGGGGAAUUCCUGAUUAUAUCUGGAUUAUGUUGGAGAGGCUUCCCUUAACACCCUCUGUGUUCUGUUAGACAUGUAACUCUUUAUCCACAAUUUAGCAGGGGGUGUAAAGCCAUAACACAUACGUUUUCCAGCAGUAGACUAUGAUUGAUAAUGUCAACAUCCGUACUGAAGUAUAACAAAACAACCCCCACAAUCUUUUUAUUAUCAAUUUCUCUCAGCCAAUCAUCAGUCAUUUGUGUAAGUGCAGUGCUUGUUGAAUGUCCGUCUUUAUAAGCGUUGUCCUUCUUUGUUGUCAAUUUGGUUACUGUAAAAUAGUAUUGUAUCUGGUCAAACAAUUUUUUUCAUAAAGUUUACUAAGGGUUGGUAACAGGCUGAUUGGUCGGCUAUUUGAGCCAGUAAAGGGGGCUUUACUAUUCUUAGGUAGCGGGAUGACUUUUGCAUCCCUCCAGGCCUGGGGGCACACAUAUUCUAGUAGGCUUUAAUUGAAAAUGUGGCAAUAUUGUCUGCUAUUUAUCCUCAGUAAUUUUCCAUCCAAGUUGUCAGACCCCGGUGGCUUGUCAUUGUUGAUAGACAGCAUUUUAAAAGGCAUGUACAGCUCAGAGAGAGACGAUUGUAUGGCAUGUAUACUGUAGCCUAGCUCUGAGGCAGAGAACAGUGUUACCAUAGCAGACAUUCUGGCCAGGCCAAACUGGCAGCUGGCUUGGGACGUCAAGAGGAGGAGCUCUCAGGGGGCACAGUGGUAUACUCUCACUGGUAUACUCUCACUGACUGGUCUUCUGGUACUGCACUAAAAACGUGUCGUUUUUUAGAAGAAAGUAAACUAGUACCAUCAAGUAACACAGCAGGUUUCAAAUGGUCUCAUCAUCGAGCCUUGCUGAACCUCAGCAAUGUUGGGAGGAGCUACAGUUGAAGAUGGAUGUUUACAUACACUUAGGUUGGAGUCAUUAAAACUCAUUUUUCAAACACUCCACAAAUUUCUUGUUAACAUACUAUAGUUUUGGCAAGUCGGUUAGGACAUCUACUUUGUGCAUGACAUAAGUCAUUUUUCCAACAAUUGUUUACAGACAGAUUAUUUCACUUAUAAUUCACUGUAUCACAAUUCCAGUGGGUCAGAAGUUUACAUACACUAAGUUGACUGUGCCUUUAAACAGCUUGGAAAAUUCCAGAAAAUGAUGUCAUGGCUUUAGAAGCUUCUGGUAGACUAAUUGACAUAAUUUGAGUCAAUUGGAGGUGUACCUGUGGAUGUAUUUCAAGGCCUACCUUCAAAGUCAGUGCCUCUGCUUGACAUCAUGGGAAAAUCAAAAGAAAUCAGUCAAGGCCUCAGAAAAAAAUUUGCACUCCACAAGUCUGGUUCAUCCUUGGGAGCAAUUUCCAAACGCCUGAAGGUACCACGUUAAUCUGUACAAACAAUAGUACGCAAGUAUAAACACAAUGGGAUCACGCAGCCGUUAUACUGCUCAGGAAGGAGACGCGUUCUGUCUCCUAGAGAUGAACGUACUUGGUGCGAAAAGUGCAAAUCAAUACCAGAACAACAGCAAAGGACCCUGUGAAGAUGCUGGAGGAAAGAGGUACAAAGGUAUCUAUAUCCAUAGUAAAAUGAGUCCUAUAUCGCCAUAACCUGAAAGGCCGCUCAGAGAGGAAGAAGCCACUGCUCCAAAACCGCCAUAAAAAAGCCAGACUACGGUUUGCAACUGCACAUGGGGACAAAGAUCGUACUUUUUGGAGAAAUGUCCUCUGGUCUGAUGAAACGGAAAUAGAACUGUUUGGCCAUAAUGACCAUUGUUAUGUUUGGAGGAAAAAGGGGGAUGCUUGCAAGCCGAAGAACACCAUCCCAACCGUGAAGCACGGGGGUUGCAGCAUCAUGUUGUGGGGGUGCUUUGCUGCAGGAGGAACUGGUGCACUUCCCAAAAUAGAUGGUAUCUUGAGGAAGGAAAAUUAUGUGGAUAUAUUGAAGCAACAUCUCAAGACAUCAGUCAGGAAGUUAAAGCUUGGUUGCAAAUGGGUCUGCCAAAUGGACAAUGACCCCAAGCAUAAUUCCAAAGUUGUGGCAAAAUAGCUUAAGGACAACAAAUUCAAGCUAUUGGAGUGGCCAUCACAAAGCCUUGACCUCACAUCUCUAGAAAACUUGUGUGCUGAAAAAGUGUGUGCGAGCCAGGAGACCUACAACCCUGACCCAGCUACACCAGCUCUGUCAGGAGGAAUGUGCCAAAAUUCACCCAACUUAUUGUGGGAAGCUUGUGGAAGGCUACCCGAAACGUUUGACCCAAGUCAAACAAUUUAAAGGCAAUGCUACCAAAUACUAAUUGAGUGUAUGUAAACUUCUGACCCACUGGGAAUGUGAUGAAAGAAAUGAAAGCUGAAAUAAAUCAUUCUCUCUACUAUUAUUCUGACAUUUCACAUUCUUAAAACAAAGUGGUGAUCCUAACUGACCUAAGACAGGGAAUUUUUACUCGGAUUAAAUGUCAGGAAUUGUGAAAAACUGAGUUUGAAUGUAUUUGGCUAAGAUGUAUGUAAACUUCCGAAUUCAACCGUAUUCUCCGUGUUAGAAUGUAUUUAUUUUAUGCACCAGACAUGGAAAAAAAGGUAGGGUAAAAAAUGCCAGUUGAGCAGAAAUCAGUUGCUUUACUACAGUAGGUAAAAACAUAUGGUAGGUAACCGACAAACAUACAUCUUACUGUAAAUACAUUCACUUCAAAGACAUCUAAUGGCACCACACAAAAAAACAUUAACACAAAUACAUAUAUUUAUAUUUUCACUAAUCAGGUACAGACAACAAACAUAUAGUUGUAGUCCUAUGACGUAUAUUUCAUAUUUUUUUGUCAUCUCUAUAUUCUUAUAUUACACAAUAUUUCAUUACUACAAUUAUGUUUAACACAUAUAUUGAAUCAAAUGUGUCAUGAAAAGUAAAAAGAACAUAAAAAAGAAAUAUACAAAACAUUUAUUUUUAAAAGAAACAACGUACCCUAAAGCUAUGCUACCUCAUAAAGUAAGACAUUACAAACUGUUACAGAGGGACUACAGUAUACUACCCAUUGUUAAUAACCAUUACAGGCUCUCGAGUGGUGCAGCGGUCUAAAGCACUGCUUCUCAGUGCUAGACACAUCACUACAGACCCUGGUUCGAUCCUGAAUUUGUUCUUAACUGGCUUGCCUAGAUAAAUAAAGGUUAAAUAAAUAAAAACCGCUUUACUUUACCAUGACCUGCUGAAACAUACUUCUUGUCACCGAGAUGGGAAACCUACUCAACUGAAUUAGACAAGCCCUUUGACACAGCAGCAGCUCUCUAGUAAGAUACAAUCCGGACAUCCUCUCUCCAUCCAUCCAUCUAUCCAGCCAUCCAUCCAUCCAUACUUCCAUUGGCCCAACAGUGUCUGUAUACACUCCUGAGAGACAACCACAUAUCCAGGUAGCAUCUUUGUGUCUUGUAUGUCAGAUUUAUUCUUGGGACCAUCUUCCCAUUAUCAAACCUAUUAGCUCUAUUUUCAGGUGUCUCUUGCAAAACCUAUUUCAUAUCUCAAUGAGGAAACCUGUUACCAAAUGUUAAAUAAAAAUCCAUAAUGCCCAUAAUUUAAAGGCCCCCCUAAUAUCAGGAUUUGCUCUCCAGGAUGGUUCCCGAAAGCCUUUUUCUUUGGGGCAGGUUGGGUUGGCUUGGGUUUGGGGGCGGUUUUAAAGACUUGAGUCCAAGGAUCUCACAGUAUUUGUUGCACAGAUGCGACACUUUGAACUGACUGAUGAAAGACGUGGAACAGUUCCCAUUGAAUCCCGUGUAUCUAGAAAGACAGCGAGGUUGCAUAUAUACGUUAGUGAGUAAUAUUGUACUGUGUACACUAGAUAAUAUAUUGUUUUUGUGAUUUGAUAUGAUUAAAAUCAUCAAAUAUUGUA